CACGUGCUGCAUCUGGGCAGCCACUGCCGCCACUGGGCCGAGGCCCGGGCCCUGCGCCGCCGCCAGCAGGGCCGCCUGGUGCUGCAGGAUCUUUGGGAGGGAAGAAGGGCAAGUGUGGAAGACCCAGUGGCGGGCAGCUGUUCGGGCUCCCUAGCCCCCGCCUGGCUCACUCGCUGCGCCGGGUGUACUCCAGGACCAGGCACCUACCGCGGUGGUAUAGGCUCCGCAGGCCCCGAGCGGCAGCGGCGCCGGGUGGAAGGCACCCAGCUGGCCGGCCAUUUGCUGCAUCCGCCGCAGUGCGCGCUCGCGGUCCGUGUCUGCCAGCUUGACCACGAGGCUAGACGAGGCGCCCUGGGUGUUCGUGCUGUGGGAGAACAAUUUCUGCCUGCAGAUCCAAUAGCUACCUGAGAAUCCUCCUCUGUGUCCCUGCUUCCUAUGGGAGUGAUAGAGAUGCCAGGAGAGGGGCUGUAGGCUGGGUCUGUGCCCUUGAAGAAAGCUGCAGAACUGGAGCUGGCAGGACUCAGAUGCACAUCCAGCAAGAGCACCAUCCAGGAGUCCAGCUCACAGGUCCUGCUGGCAAAGCCCCUCUCAUUUUUGCACCAGGGGCUACACAACAUGUGGGAUCUUAGUUCCCACACCAGGGAUUGAAC